rnacentral:lncRNA from 1 species
UGUAGACAUAUGGUGGUGGAGGAGAUUUGUAGUCAACCUUAGGGGAAGGUGAGUAGUAUGGUGGUGGAGGAGAUUUGUAGUCAACCUUAGGGGAAGGUGAGUAGUAUGGUGGUGGUGGUGAACUAUAGACGUAUGGUGGUGGUGGAGAUUUGUAAUCUACCUUAGGGGCAGGUGAGUAGUAUGGUGGUGGGGGUGAGCUGUAGACAUACGGUGGUGGGGGAGAUUUGUAGUCUACCUUCGGGGAAGGUGAGUAGUAUGGUGGUGGUGGUGAGCUAUAGACGUACGGUGGUGGAGGAGAUUUGUAGUCUACUUUAGGGGAAGGUGAGUAGUAUGGUGGUGGUGGUGAGCUGUAGACGUACGGUGGUGGGGGAGAUUUGUAGUCUACCUUAGGGGAAGGUGAGUAGUAUGGUGGUGGUGGUGAGCUGUAGACGUACGGUGGUGGGGGAGACUUGUAAACUACUUUAGGAGAAGGAGAGUAGUAUGGUGGUGGUGGUGAGCUGUAGACGUACGGUGGUGGGGGAGACUUGUAGACUACCUUAGGAGAAGGAGAGUAGUAUGGUGGUGGUGGAGAACUGUAGACAUACGGUGGUGGAGGAGACUUGUAGACUACCUUAGGAGAAGGAGAAUAAUAUGGUGGUGGUGGAGAACUGUAAACGUAUGGUGGUGGGGGAGACUUGUAGACUACCUUAGGAGAAGGAGAGUAGUAUGGUGGUGGUGGAGAACUGUAGACAUACGGUGGUGGGGGAGACUUGUAGACUACCUUAGGAGAAGGAGAAUAGUAUGGAGGUGGUGGAGAACUGUAAACAUACGGUGGUGGGGGAGACUUGUAGACUACCUUAGGAGAAGGAGAGUAGUAUGGUGGUGGUGGAGAACUAUAGACAUACGGUGGUGGGGGAGACUUGUAGUGUACCUUAGGGGAAGGAGAGUAAUAUGGUGGUGGUGGAGAACUGUAGACAUACGGUGGUGGGGGAGACUUGUAGUGUACCUUAGGAGAAGGAGAGUGAUAUGGUGGUGGUGGAGAACUGUAAACGUACGGUGGUGGGGAGGACUUGUACACAACCUUUGGAGAUGGAGAAUAACAUGGAGGAGGUGGUGGACAGACACAUACAUGAGGGUGUGGUGGAGAUUUGUAUAGAACCUUAGGGGAUGGUGCGUGGUAUGGUGAUGGAGGAGACUUGUAGUAUACUUUAGGAGAAGGGGAGUAGUAUGGUGGUGGUGGAGAACUGUAAACGUAUGGUGGUGGGGGAGACUUGUAGACUACCUUAGGAGAAGGAGAGUAGUAUGGUGGUGGUGGAGAACUGUAGACAUACGGUGGUGGGGGAGACUUGUAGACUACCUUAGGAGAAGGAGAGUAGUAUGGAGGUGGUGGAGAACUGUAAACAUACGGUGGUGGGGGAGACUUGUAGACUACCUUAGGAGAAGGAGAGUAGUAUGGUGGUGGUGGAGAACUGUAGACAUACGGUGGUGGGGGAGACUUGUAUAAAACCUUUGGUGAAGGAGAGUAGUACGGUGGUGGUGGAGAACUGUAAACAUAUGGUGGUGGAGGAGACUUGUAGUCUACCUUAGGGGAUGGUGAAUAGUAUGGUGGUGGAGGAGAACUGUAAACAUAUGGUGGAGGAGGAGAUUUGUAUACAACCUUUGGAGAUGGCGAGUAGUAUGGUGGUGGAGGAGAACUGUAAACAUAUGGUGGAGGAGGAGAUUUGUAGUCUACCUUAGGGGAUGGUGAGUAGUAUGGUGGUGGUGGGGAACUGUAAACAUAUGGUGGAGGAGGAGACUUGUAUACAACCUUUGGUGAAGGUGUGUAGUAUGGGGGUGGUGGGGAGCUGUAGACGUACGGUGGUGGGGGAGAUUUGUAGACUAUCUUAGGAGAAGGUGAGUAGUAUGGUGGUGGUGGUGAGCUGUAGACGUAUGGUGGUGGUGGAGACUUGUAGUCUACCUUAGGUGAUGGUGAGUAGUAUGGUGGUGGUGGAGAACUGUAAACAUAUGGUGGAGGAGGAGAUUUGUAGUCUACCUUCGGGGUUGGUGAGUAGUAUGGUGGUGGUGGGGAACUGUAAACAUAUGGUGGAGGAGGAGACUUGUAUACAACCUUAGGGGAUGGAGAGUAGUAUGGUGGUGGUGGAGAACUGUAGACAUACGGUGGUGGGGGAGAUUUGUAGUCUACCUUAGGGGAAGGUGAGUAGUAUGGGGGUGGUGGGGAGCUGUAGACGUACGGUGGUGGGGGAGAUUUGUAGACUAUCUUAGGAGAAGGUGAGUAGUAUGGUGGUGGUGGUGAGCUGUAGACGUAUGGUGGUGGUGGAGACUUGUAGUCUACCUUAG